UACUCAGUUUAAAGGUGAUUAAGUGACGUGCGCCAUUUUCGUUUUGUGAAUAACUCGAGAAAUAUGUGAAUUUUGGACUUUUUUAAGACUAUUUCGAGUGACUUUUUCAACGAUAAAAGGACUGUAAUAGUGUGUACUAAUUAUUUAGUACUUAUAUAUACACGCAACAGUGGAUUAUAUUAAAUAUUAAUAUCGUGAUAUCUGGCAGCCAUUUUUACUGUCACCCAGGAAGUACCCAUUAUCGUCAACAAUCUUGGAUAAACUAGCCAUAUAAAAUUACACUAUAAACUGAUUUGUACACUCUAUGACCGAAGUAUAUAAAAAUGCAUCAUCCGUCACAGUGCAAAAAAAUAAUGUAUCUCGCGAUUUCGGGAAUAAUUCAGCCGGGAAUGUGAAAAGAAACAUGAUCGUCUUACUGUUGUGUGUGAUGAUGAAAAUCGUGGAAUACGGGGGUGGGAAUACCCCCCAAAAUCAGCAAAAUAGGCCGAAGUGUAAGAGGUAUAGGAGACAACAUCGGAGAAGACAUGAACAUAAAGGCAAAGGCAUGAGUGAGUUGGGGGUGCCUCGCAUGAGCCCUGACUCAGACUGCAAUAGCAACCUAAAAGGCUCCAGCCUCAGCAUAGCCUCUUCCCAAGAUAUUGAGUUUGUACAGGACAAUUCUGAUUAUCAAUGGUUUUUGGAUUAUGGUUACAGAGAUGGCUGCACGAACCACCACACGAGCAUCCUCUCAAUACCGGAGUCAUACGAAGCAGGAGACAACUAUUACGACGCCAUGGCCAAGAACAUGGACGCAAAUCUCGCGGAAGCCGAUAUGGAAAGUUUCAAAACUGAGGACAUUCACGCUUUGCUGACUAACCUGCCUCCGAUGUGCACUGACCACCUCAGCCAAGAGACGAACAGACAGGGUGAAUCUUUUGCCGAGGUGUCCGGUUCGAUGAUGGUGAAAUUUAAUCUGGAUAGUUUUGUUAGCCCCCAUGGCAGUUCUCAGGGGGAUGACUGUUCAGCAAAUUCCACCUCAAUGUCCAUAUGCAAAUCGGAACUUCUCUUCAGUCCGGUAAAGGAAACUCCAAUGCCAUGUGCCAAUUUUUCAGUCGAUUCAUUAGAUUGCGAUCUGCACGACAUGAUGCUCACUUGUCAAGCUAACAAAGAUAAUUAUACCAUUGCCUUUGAAGGAUCCGUUACUACAUAUAGCGAAGAAAGCGACUAUCAUGAUACAGAUAAGAGCUCUUCAAACCAAUCCGGCAGCUUGAACGCAGAAAUGAACCAGAAAAAUCGCAACUUAACCGACAAGAUAUUGGAGAGGUCUAUGACCCAGUCUGAUUCAAGCAGUUUCACCACUUGGAGCAAACUGAAGAAAAGGAACAGCGACGACCAUCUACGAAGACCAUCUGGUAACAAUAACAAUUCAGAAGACGAGAGUAACCAUUUAGUGUUGAGUGAUACGGCGCUUAAAAGUCAAAGUAUGCCGAAUUUGAGAAGGCAAAAAGUGAGGAAAGUGGCUAAUUUUAAGGACGAAAAUAGUCUAAGUAAUAGUUCGAUCGAAAAUACGAUAAAAAGACGCCCAGUAAAAGUGUUCGAUAUCCACCAUCAAACACAGCAGAGCAGCAGCGGUAGUGUCGCUUCAUUUUCCGAUAUGGCAACGUCGGUCGAUGGCUCUAGUAUGGGCGAUGGUACUAAUAAACAUCCGAAUUUCAGUUUGGUUAAAUUGUUUAUGAAACAGAAGAGUAUGAGUCAAGAAGGUAUGUCCCUAACAACUGAUCAGCUGUCUUCUUCUGAAAACUGGCAUGCCUCUCAAAGCGGUGAAAGUUCGGGCUCGGAAAAUAAACAUUCAGCCAAAAGUAUGGAUCUGAGCGUUAACUCUAAAGGGGGAGUGUAUGAUCUUAUCGCCGAAGAGCCUGAAGAUAAUUCCGCUAGUGAAUCGAUAGAACAGCUCAGCGAGAGUGUGUCCAUUGAAGGGAGUUACAAAAAAGAUAGUGGUGUUAGUGAGAAUAUUAAUGAGCCUUCAGUUCAAAAGGAAAUAAGAAAACCGCUUAGUCCGAAACAUAAGAGGCUCCUUAGUAAAACUUCACAUCUCGACCGUAGCAUUCAAACCUCCCAAUUUUCCGAAAUAACUAACUUGAAAAACGCGACGAAACACCGAUCUCCCUUUUACCAGUCACCGAUAAAAAUGAUCGAACCCUCUUUCCUCAGCAAACUAAAGGAGGAGGGCGAAAUGCAGAAGCCAGUAUAUGUGCUUUAUCCGAAUUAUGUGCUACCCGAUUUGGAGUUUCUAAAUGAAAAGAACGAUAUCAAAAAUAUUCUAGUUAUGCCCCAAAACGCUCCCAGGGUUCCCAUCGGACAAAAGCAAAGGCCAUUUAGUUUUAACGACGUGGAGAUGUUAAAGAGGAAAGGGUUUACGCACGUGAAGGAUUGGGAUUCUUUGAAUAUUUUGUUGCCACAGGAGUACAGGAAGAUUUUAGCCGAUGUGCCCGAGAUUUCAGGACAUAUUAAGAUCGGGGGAAGUUUAAGAGAAAAACCAUCGUUUCUGAGAUGUAAAAAGCCAUCGCUGAAUGACACAACUACAAUACCAAACAACAUAUCAUCUAGCUCUAGUACUGCUACUCAACCUAGUAGCGGAUAUCGCGGCUCUUCCAGCUUACUAACAGAUUCUCAAAAUAGUCCGGCCGCUCAGAGUAACAAUAAUCCUUUGUUCGUUUAUCGGUAUGAUAGCGUUACUAGUUCGGAGGCAAGCCUGAUUAAUGGCGAAAAACUCCCUCACUGUAUAACAACUACCCCUCAAGCAGGCGUAAAAUGCGUAAACUCCUUACCUCAAGAAAAUCGUUCAAACAAAUCUCCGUACAUUAGAGGGAUUUUAAGAAAAGCCGAAAUAAAUAAGAGGUUCAGCGUGUACGAACCUAGCGAGGAGGAUUUAACUGGCAAUGAUACUACCUAUAAUAAACGGCGAUCCCUCCCGGAUCCCUAUUAUUUAAAUCGGAUGAAGAGAUUCUCGGAAACUGAAGACGAAGGUGUGGACGCAGGCACUUCUAGUAGCAGUUUGGACGAAAAAGAGAGUUUGUCGAACAGGAACGAUUUUCUCCUACCUCACGGGGGUUCAGAUGAACUAAUGCAACUAGAAGAGUAUUUGAAAUUAAGCGGAUUUUCAUCCACUGACGAGGAUAAAACAGAGGAAAAUUUGCUGCAGCUGCGCAGUUACGUCAGCAAGUUUUUGGCUUUAAAAAUUAAUCAGGACGACUCCGAACAUUUCGGCGGCAAAAAAUGCGUGAGCUUCGCUGAAAAAUCUGGCAGCACAAGACAUUUGGACGCCAAGUUGGCCAAUAAUCCACCGAAUAAUUCUCCGAACGUUUCGGCCUUUUUACAACAGCGAAAUUUCCAGACGAAAACAGUUGCCGACAUGACAAUUUGUGAGGAAAACGAAAAUAGUCCGAACUAUUCUAGUCCGCAAGCGACGCCGGUUCACUUAUGCAAAACCCCUUCGGAUUAUUAUGUGCAAAAACGAUCUCUUAUUAAUGGGGUGAUGGAUGCGGUCGAUCAAAUUAUGCAGCAUUUUUCACCAGCUAGUAAUCAACAGGAACUUAAUACUCUUGGCGAUUCGAGCGUGAACCCCUCCUGCGCCAAACUGGCUCUAACGACCCUGUGUCCGGCCCUUUACGCCGUUUUAAGCGACGGCCUAAAGCCUUGCUUAGAAACUAGCUUUGGGGCCAUAAAUAACUCCGUGUGGCAGGUGGUGGAGGCCUCCUCACAACAGGGCCCCCUUACCAAAGCCCUUAAUGAUUUGGUAAUGCGGAUCAAUAGUGAGGACGUUAUAAGUGAGGGAUUAGUAAAAUUUAAUGCCUUCAUUUUCGGACUCUUGAAUGUUCGUUCACUAGACGCAUGGACAAGUUAUUUAAGGACUAGAGAGAGCAUAUUGAAAAAACACUACACCGCAGAUUCCUUAUUGGUACUAUCACAUACAGGCGGUACUAAUCUGAGAACUAUGUUGGACACGAUGGUGGCGGCGUUGCAACCUUUGGCAUUUCUACCCUUUCAGUUUGAUUUGUUAUUUGAAUAUAAACAAUUGCAUCUCAGUUUUAAGAGGAUGGAUUCGUAUAAUCAGCCUACCAGUCCUACGUUGAAGCAUUCUACAUCACCGAGCUUCAAACAGUUCUUCUCGGCCAAAUACACGCAAUCUCCCAAAUCCAAUAGCAGAUCAAACUCAGAAUCAGACGUUAUUUCUGCUGUUACACUAAGAAACAUAUCUGAGGCGUCCGGAUACAAAGAGAGACCGCGCAGCAGCUGCGUUGAACCUGGAAUGUUAAACUUCAAAUUGGGCGAAGACGUUAAUAACGUUGCGAAAAAACGAUGGUCAAGUAUUGCCACAAACUCCAAACUCUUCCAAGUUUAUGAUCGAUUGGCAAAAGAUGACGAAGAGUACGCGGACAGCUUGGAAACCACUCAAGGUUCACCAAAGAAAGAAAGACCCGCGCAGUUAAAAACUAACGAGCCUGAAUCGUUGGAUUCGAAUUAUGCCGAUGAUAAGCCGAUAAAUGGAAGGAGGUUCAAGAAGUUACAGCAAAAGUGGGAGAUGUUAAGUAAGGAGUCAGUGGAUAAAGAGUCGCCUCCGCCUAGUCCUACACAUGUGGGGAACAAAUCAAAGAUUCCAAGGCCCAUAACAUCUCCUGUCAGGCCCUCUGGCAUACCAGUCCUAGUUUCACCAGCGACCAAACUGACAGCCAGUAAAAUUCCCUCGAAUAUCGCCACAAAACAGCUAAAAGGUGCAGUGAAAAACUCACCAGCUAAAAAACCCGGUUCUAGAACGAGUAGGGUUGACCAGGUGGAGGGAACCCACGCCGUUCAGAGGCCGAGUAGUUUACCGUAUAACAAACCAUCGACGGUGAACGGGAUGCAAUCCAAAGGGGUGCCGCAGAGGAGGGCGGCGAGUAGUUCGUUGAGUAGACGUCCGAUUUCGGUGGUUGGAGCGAGGAAAACGAGUACUCCAAAAACAGUCCGGACGUUGAAUCACCGCCUGCCAUCCGAAAGCGGACACCUAUCAUAUAACGAGGGCGAAAUACUCAAAGUCGUCCUCGAGGUGGACGAUAAAUGGCUGUUAUGUGCACGUGGCACUCAAAAAGGUCUCGUGCCCAAAUCGGCCGUUAUACCCGACACCGAAAAGUUCUGAUAAAAACUGUACUGAAGGUUUGUACUUCUCCGAUUUUUCCCCCGAGUUAAGAGCCUCCUAGAUACUUCUUACUAAACAAAAUUGAGGGGAAGCAUAAUACCUGCAGUAUAGUAAGAGUGUUAGAUAUUAUUUGCCUUUUAUAUGUAUAUAUUGAAAUAACCAUUUAUUUGGGUGUUUUUCCCUUAAAAUAACAGGAUUUGCAUUAUAUUCAAAUAUAUUAUUCGAUCGAUCGAUGAUUUACGCGAAUAAUAACGAUCGAGUUGUGAUUCCAAACCUAACUUUAAGUUUUUUUUUUAUACAUGUAUACAUUAUUAUUUCUGUAUUUGUUAAGAUAUUUGUUUGUGCCAUAUUGACUUCGUCAAAUUUCUUUUUUUUUUGUUGCUGGAUAGCGUUUUAUUUACAUUUGUAUAUUUACUUUACUACGUACUAUUUUUUAGUUUUAAAUCGUAAUGAUUAUUAGCAAAUAAAGCGUAAUGAUUACUAAACAGA
rnacentral:misc_RNA from 1 species